rnacentral:misc_RNA from 1 species
AACGUAGUCGCCCAUGAAAAGAUAGUUAGUGUCGGGGGCGUUCCCACCGAUGCGAAAAAGCUCGACAAGAUCGUAGAACUGGCCGUGAAUAUCACCGCAAACAGUAACGGGGCAUUUGACGGGCUGAACGUUCCAUUCCUCAACAAGGAUCGCUCUUGCUUGCUCGCACAGUGCCUUCACUUCCGCUUCCGUCAGUGGCUUACACUGCAUCAGGUGCUCGAUCUGCCGGUCCAGGUCACCAUGAGACGGCAUCGUUUUCUGCCUUUCUAUUUUUAAUUCUAAUUUUUUUAAUUCGACCAGUAAUGGAGCUUAGACGUAC